GUUGUGGGCAUAACAUCUAAUGUUCAGUGGUGUCCUGAUGAAAUCAAAUUGGGUUAAAUGAAGCUUAAGUGCCUGCCCCUGAAAGAUCCUCAACCUAAGGUCAGAAACCUAAUUAUUGUCACCAGAAGGGACUGACUACGGGAAACACACGGCCCUAGACGAUUUGGAAAGUGUUUUAGUAAAAAAGUGGAUUUCUCAUUCAUCUGUAGAAUAAAUGCUUCUGGCAGAGCUCUCGCCCGCAAAAUUCCCUCUACUAAUCUUUAAGAAGAAUCGAGAUGGUGAAGGCAAGGCUGAAGUCAUCUGAUCAUAUUGUUCGCUCCUUCAGAUGAAAAGCCUCUGAGAAACUAGCACUUUGCCCAAAGUUUUGGAAUGUACAACCCCUUGGAAAUCAUUGUUUUCAUUAGAUCGCCUUAUCUGAAUAUGAAACCUGCAUCCAGACUCAAAAAAUCCAGACGCAGAAGUAGAAAAGUACUUCGGAAUCUAAGGAGUACAAUUGCAGAAUUUCUCGACACAGUGAGCACAAGAAGGUAAAAGAAUGAGACAACAUCAGAGCUCAAAGGACUGCUGAGAAUGGCUCCCUCCCAGCUCAGCUUCCUCCUGUUUCCUGUGUGGUGACUGUGGCCCAGAGAAUUUGGGUCGUCUGCACAGUACCUGGCCCCCUCUCUCUCGCAGCAGACUGGUUGUGGAAAAUGGUUAACCCACAGACUCUAUAUCAGUUUCUUUUGCUCUAUCUCCAAUUCACACAGUUUGCAAAGAACCUGCAGCCAGUAGGUUAAGACAAUCAUGAGUUGUCCAGCAUGGAAAGGCAAAAACAGUCGUGGAAUGAAACAAAGCUAUCAAUGCUGCUCUGAACAGAUAUUUAACUUUCUUUGAGACUUCAAAGAAAAAAAUGAAUUAACUCAUUUCAAAUUUGUUUAGAUUGGUUUGGAAUCUUUUUCUUUAUCUUACUGUCUCCUUGGCCCUUAUAUCUCAACUCUGGCACCACCCUCCUUAGAUUUCUUUCCUUCUUCUUUCUUGACUUGACGUGCUUAUGAAUCAGUGUGUUAACUUGACAAGUUUCUGUGAUUCCAAGUUCCCUAGAUUCUCCAUGGAGAGAUACAUCUUAUUUCCUACUGACCUCAAAUAAUUAAAAUAGGACUGGGACCAUUACUCAAAAC
rnacentral:lncRNA from 1 species